rnacentral:rRNA from 1 species
GACGAACGCUGGCGGCGUGCCUAAUACAUGCAAGUCGAACGCAUUUUCUAUCACCGUAGCUUGCUACACCGAAAGAAAAUGAGUGGCGAACGGGUGAGUAACACGUGGGUAACCUGCCCAUCAGCGGGGGAUAACACGUGCUAACAGGUGCUAAUACCGCAUACUUCCAUUUACUGCAUGGUAGAUGGAUGAAAGGCGCUUUUACGUCACUGACGGCUGUACCCGCGGUACAUUAGAUAGUUGGUGGGGUAACGGCCUACCAAGGCUGCGAUGCAUAGCCGACCUGAGAGGGUGAUCGGCCACACUGGGACUGAGACACGGCCCAGACUCCUACGGGAGGCAGCAGUAGGGAAUCUUCGGCCAUGGACGCAAGUCUGACCGAGCAACGCCGCGUGAGUGAAGAAGGUUUUCGGAUCGUAAAACUCUGUUGUUAGAAAAGAACAAGGAUGAGAGUGGAAAGUUCAUCCCUUGACGGUAUCUAACCAGAAAGCCACGGCUAACUACGUG